GAGCCCGUGGCUCAAUGGUGGAGCGUUCGACUCAAUAACCGAAGGUCACGGGUUCGAAUCCCAUGUGGUCCA
rnacentral:tRNA from 1 species